UACAGAGGUCCCAAGCGUUGUUCGGAUUCACUGGGCGUAAAGGGUGCGUAGGCGGUUGGAUAAGCCCUCCGUGAAAUCUCCAGGCUUAACCUGGAAAGUGCAGAGGGGACUGUUCAGCUAGAGGAUGGGAGAGGAGCGCGGAAUUCCCGGUGUAGCGGUGAAAUGCGUAGAGAUCGGGAGGAAGGCCGGUGGCGAAGGCGGCGCUCUGGAACAUUUCUGACGCUGAGGCUCGAAAGCGUGGGGAGCAAACAGG
rnacentral:rRNA from 1 species